rnacentral:lncRNA from 1 species
ACUUAAAGCAGCUAAUACAAAAUAGCAUAAUCAUAAUCAGGAAGACUGGGCAUCAGGCUCGUGAUCAGAAGGAACAAAAUGAGGGAAUAGCUCCGAAGUAGAAAUACGACCACGUCUGCCUCGGCCUCGACUGGAUGAUCUAGUCCGAGUAGAAGAGGUCGGGAGACAAAAAGUGAUAGGCUGAAUAAGGAUAGGCUCAGUGGACACAGAGGGUCUAGACUGGAGCUGAAUCUUAAUGACAUCUAGCUG